AUUGAACGCUGGCGGCAGGCUUAACACAUGCAAGUCGAGCGAGCGGCGGACGGGUGAGUAAUGUCUGGGCCACUGCCUGAUGGAGGGGGACAACUACUGGACACGGUAGCUACUACCGCAUACCAUCAGAUGGGCCCAGGUGGGAUUAGCUAGUAGGUGGGGUAAAGGCUCACCUAGGCGACGAUCCCGAACUGGUCUGAGAGGAUGAACAGUCACACUGGAACUGAGACACGGUCCAGACUCCUACGGGAGGCAGCAGUGGGGAAUAUUGCACAAUGGGCGCAAGCCUGAUCCAGCCAUGCCGCGUGUGUGAAGAAGGCCUUCGGAUUGUAAAGCACUUUCAGCGAGGAGGCGUUACUCGCAGAAUAAGCACCGGCUAACUCCGUGCCAGCAGCCGCGGUAAUUC
rnacentral:rRNA from 1 species